rnacentral:lncRNA from 11 species
ACUACAACAGGCAUGGGCAAACUUUGGCCCUCCAGGUGUUUUGGACUCCAACUCCCACAAUUCCUAACAGCGUAGCCAGGGCUCAAUGCUAUGAAAUCCCAGGAGUUGCAGGUAAAGACUGUUUUGUUUCGAGGACUUCCGGUUUGGCGAGAUGGCGGCAGGGCGGACUUCUUGAGGGCUCCCGAGAAGCCAGCCGAGCGGAGCGACCGGGUAGAGCGCAGAGCUCCCUCCCCCCAACGGAUCGAGUUUGGGGGGACAGCCAAACCCGUAGGGCACCAACCGACGGUCUUGAGGACCUCCAUCCCUCAAGGGUGGGGGUCAGGAGAGACCCGGACUGGUAGCCCGCAGGGUGAGCGGGUCGUAGCGAGGCGACCGGACCAAGCGCCCGGAUCACUGCCGAAACUCGCCCGAUUUUAACAGUGCAAACAGGACACCAGAAAAGGUACGAAAGAAAAUCCUAAUCUAUAUUGGACUAAAUACUUCACUAAUACUUCAGUAUUACAUGUAUAUUUAGCAUCUUGAAGAACUGGGAACCUAGAAAGUUAACCCAGAACUUAAAAGGGUCUCGUAUAUUGGAUAAAUUUCUACCCACGAAUAAAGGGACACACAAUAUUUCAAUAUAAGAAAAUCGGAAAGACUCAAAUUUUAAAUCGCCCUUGCUAGGAUUUGUAAAGAAAAGCGAGACAUUGAAAUUAAGAGGUUUAAAAACUAAAAGAAUUUAAAAUAAUCUGAUCUGACCUUGGGACAAUAUUGUUAUGACUACGCCGGCAAACCCAGUCUAAACAAUCUGAUAACGAAGAGGAGACACCAGCGGAAAGAACAAAGAAAAACCGGAACGGAAAGGAGAUAGCUGCCCACGAACCAUAGAGCAGCAGGAGGACUGGGUAGAGCAAGCAGUAGACGAAGAAGAGGAAAUGACGAGGGGAGUGAAGGAGACUAUAGAUCGAGAAAAGUAAGGAACCCGAGAGCAUAGACUGAGUUAAGGAAAAAAGAAAAGAAAAGAAAUUGAAAGGGCGACCCCGCGUAGGGGCCCACUGAUAAAGAGAGCGACAAAUAAAAGGGCAAAAGGGCGAUCGUGGCUACGACAGAGGAGGGGUGAAGAGGUGAGAAAAGAGGUUAGGAAAAGAAGAAGUGAGAGUCAUAGGAGACGGAGGAGGCACGAUGGAGAAGAAAUAAAGGAGCCACAGACAGCUGGGGAAAGACAACACUCAGUAGACAACGGACCAUAGACCCAGGCAAAAAGAAGAAAGAGAAGGGGAAGAAGAGAAGAAAGGGGGAGAAGAGAGGGGGAAGAAGGGGAGAGAGAGAAGGGAAAGAGAAGAAGGGAAAGGAAGGGGAAAAAGACAAGAGGAAGGAAGGAAGAGGAAGAAGGAGGGAAGAGAGAAAGGGGAAAGGAAAAGAAAAAGAAAGAGAAGGUCCGAAGGAAACCUAGCCUAUAGACAGGUAGAUUGGAGACGAAGAAGGACAGAUAGACGGAAGAAGAAAGAAGGGAAGGGAAAAGGAAAAAGAGAAAAAAAG